rnacentral:rRNA from 1 species
CACCAGCGCCACGAGUGGCUAUCACGAUUAUUGGGCCUAAAGCGUCCGUAGUCUGUUCUGUACAUCUUCUGUGAAAUCGCUGCGCUUAACGUAGCGGCAUGCGGAAGACACGGCAGAGCUUGAGACCGGGAGGCGUCGAGGGUAUUCUUAGGGGACCGGUAAAAUGGUAUAAUCCUAAGAGGACCACCUGUGGCGAAGGCGCUCGACGAGAACGGAUCUGACGAUGAGGGACGAAAGCCAGGGGAGCAAACCGG